GACGGAAGGUGCAAGCGUUGCUCGGAAUCACUGGGCGUAAAGGGUGCGUAGGCGGCCGCGCAAGUCUGGCGUGAAAGCCCCGGGCCCAGCCCGGGAAGGGCGCUCGAAACGGCGCGGCUCGAGUGCCGGAGGGGAGAGUGGAAUUCCUGGUGUAGCGGUGAAAUGCGUAGAUAUCAGGAGGAAUACCGGUGGCGAAAGCGCCUCUCUGGACGGCAACUGACGCUGAGGCACGAAAGCGUGGGGAGCAAACAGG
rnacentral:rRNA from 1 species